GGGCAGACGAGCGAGAGGACAGAAGGGAAAAAGAGCCUGAGUCCCGCAGACGGGACCUGGAGGGAGUCCGGGGUAGGCGGCGGAACGUGCGGGACCCUUUUCCCGCUGACGAGCGAGAGUAAGGACGCUCAAGUCUCUAAGAUGGCACCAAAUCUCUCAGCAAAGCGGGCAGUAUAGUUGCGUUGUUAAGCAUUUUCCUCGCCGGCGUGCACCACACUGACACUAAUGUCAGAAAUGAAUGUCAAAGUAACUCUGACAUCGUUAGACAGCCCGUUCCGCAGAGCGGCGGGAGCCGCCGGACUGCACCUCUCUGCACCGUUCAGCGUAUUAUGGCCGUGUUCAAACUCAUUCCAGUGCGCCCUGAGGAAGGUACAAAAUUAGAUUAAAGCUCCCAGCAGCGCAUCAGGUCCCGCUCUGAGCCUCGGCUCCGCACUCAGGCUUGUUCACGUCGCCGACACUUCAGAACAAAACCCGGCUACACUCAACGUCUCCGGGCAGAUUUUUCUGUUUGAUUACAUUAAUAAUUUAAUUUCUAUUUCCUACCGGCCCUUCCACGUGGGCAAAUCAAACCCCCUUCCAACAUGGGUGGGGGCUGUUAUUUAUAGCUCGUUCGCUGGAACAAAAUGUACCAACACUCCCUCCUUUGAAUCUCACUGCGGUUUGACUGCACUUUGAUAUUUAAGACCGUCGGUUUUCCUUGUCAAACUACCUGCUAUAGGAAAUUGCUCCCUUCGCUUGGCAAAUCACUCUUCACAAAGGUAGACAGGAACAUUUGCCUAAGGAAAGAAACGUUUCUAAAACGUUCCAAGGACAGAUCCACAUUAAUAAGCUGGUAAAUCUUCUGUAAGAGCUGCCCUUACGGUAACUGUGUGCAGAGUUCUCCGUAGCGCUGCGCCCAGCUACCAGAAUAAAUCAGAACCGAGUAAAACGCUGCCAUGCCUCCUCGUCCCCUUGACAGGGAUAUUUCUUCACCGCUUGCUGGGCAGAUUUUUGGGAACUCCACGUGCACCUCAUGAUCAAUACAAAAAUCCGGGUCCGAUUUUAAUAUUGUUUAAAUAUCCCUGCUGUCCCUUCCCAGCUGCAGUUCUGCCCUGCUGCUGCUGCUUCAGCAAAUGCAUACUUGUUAAAGUGCUUCUAAAUAUUUCCCUCGUUGUCUGAGAACUUCAGCUGACACCACUGCCACCGCUGUGCCCUUUGAAAGAAAAAAACACGUUUCUGUAUUUUGAGCUAAAAGCUCAACAAGAAGCUCAACGUAGGAGCAGGGAAAAAUAAAUAAAUAAAUAAACAAAACGCUAAGAGGGAACAAUGCAAAGUAGUUGGGAUAGAGAGAGAGAGAGAGAGAGAGAGAGAAAAGCCUCAAACGCUUCUGUCAAAUUAUGCCUACUAAAGACUGAAUUACAGUAAUUCAGGCUCUGAAAACCAGCACCCUUGGCAUUACAAUGACGGACGUGUUUUGGUGUACGCACAGCUACGGUGUGAGGUGCCGAAACGCUAACAGGAGUUUCCAGCUCCAUAGAUGUAGGUCUGGAAAGCUCCCCUGCCACUUUGCAGGGACAUCCGCACACGUUGGCGAAAGCGCUGCGGGGAAUAAUGCCCAACCACCGCGAUCUUCGCGACCGACGGCAUCCUCACGUACAGUGCCCUCCGCGGCCACAGAUCUGCGGCUAAACAAACCCAAAUGAACAAAAUAAGUGCAAACCAGGCUUCUUCCUGCAAGGGACUUGAAAUGCAUGUAUGAGGAGCGUAUAGAAUAAAAGAAAAGAAAAAAAAAAAAGUGUGUUUUCAGCUCCAAAUCGCUGCAUUAACAGCAAGAGAACAAGAUCAGUAUACCUGACAGAAGGGGGCAAACUCCUGUUCGGACAGCGAUUGUUGUAUGACAAGAAGCAACAACUGCUUUGCUAUAAAAACAGUGUUUAUUACGAAGAAACCGAAUGAGCAGCCAUCCAAAUAAAUACCCCCUGCAUCCAACAAGUGCGCGGUGUUUGUGAUGUUUUGGGUGCCGCUGACCUUUCUGUCCUUUUAACCAUUACUGUGUUUUUGCUCGCCGUUAUGAACACUGUUUUCCAGUUGUCCCAAUUUCAACACUGCUUAACACUCCUAAGCUGCACGGAGAAAUAACAGAAAGGGGUAUUUUUUUUUUCCCCCUGUAUAUGCGCGUCAAUAAAUUCAAUACGUAUUCUUA